GGUUGUAAGGGGAUCUGGCUGUGACAUCAGUCACCCCACUGAUUGCCAGGGUUGAUUCCGUUGAUCUGGCUGGCUAGGCUGGUAUCCUCUUCUCCCUCUUUGCUCCAUGUGGGUUCCCCCAAGGCUGUGCACUCUGUAGAAGAGGACGACCUUUCCCGAUACAGAAGUACCAUUCUUCUGUCGAGGGUAUAGAAGUAGCUGUGCUCCCUGCUAGAACCUUCAAACAAGCCUUCAAUAUAUAUAUAGGUACAGGAGGAAGACAGAAUUUAAAUAUAUAUCUACAAUCAAAUUCAAGUU
rnacentral:snRNA from 1 species